rnacentral:lncRNA from 1 species
UCCGAGUAACGCCCUUUUAUUCAUUGGUUUAGAAUUGAGAACACAAAAAGAUGAAUACAUGCGAACACAUGAAUAAAUCAAUAUGGUAGAAUACAAGCAUUUUCAAUUUGCAAAAAUAAAUAAUAAAUAGAUGCAUUUUCGAGCGACUUUGGCCUAGCCAAGUGUCGGGUUAGAAGAAAUCAGCUUGCAUGUAUCGCGACACUUGUUAUCUGAGCUAUCCUUUUCCUUUGAGCAACGCUUAAAGCAAUCCAUGUCUUGCUCUAUGGCUUUCUUAUUGGCGGNNNNNNNNNNGGAACACAUGAAUAAAUCAAUACGGUAAAAUACAAUCAUUUUCAAUUUGCAAAAAUAAAUAAUAAAUAGAUGCAUUUUCAAGCGACUUUGGCCUAGCCAAGUGUCGGGGUAGAAGAAAUCAGCUUGCAUGUAUCGCGACACUUGUUAUCUGAGCUAUNN